rnacentral:rRNA from 10 species
UGAGGAAGAACACAGCAAAUUGCAAAAUGAUGCCCCACUGGCAGAGACCCAUGAUAUUCAUGGUGUCGACUGGAAAU